CACAGAAAAGCUGCUUUUGAACAGACUUCAUUUUUUUUUUUUUAAAUUGGAAGGAAAACUAUUUCAUAUUUCAUAAAAAUCUGGAAGUUACUUUAAUACUCAAUGAUUUACUGGAUAUUAAUAAGGAAUAGAAGAGGGGUCGCGUGGAAUGGAUUAAAUGAGAGGGGUCGCAGUGGAACUGGAUAAAGAGAGGGGGUCCCAGUGAAAUGGAUAAAUGAGAGGGGUCCCAGUGGAACUGGAUAAAUGAGAGGGGUCCAGUGGAACUGGAUAAAUGAGAGGGUCCCAGUGGAACUGGAUAAAUGAGAGGGGUCCCAGUGGAACUGGAUAAAUGAGAGGGGUCCCAGUGGAACUGGAUAAAUGAGAGGGGUCGCAGUGGAACUUGAUAAAUGAGAGGGGUCGCGGUGGAACUGGAUAAAUGAGAGGGGUCGCGGUGGAACUGGAUAAAGCACAGGCAUGGCGGUACUGUCACAAAAGAGAUUUUAUACAUCUUAGAAAACAAAGAAGAAUACAUGCUCCCCCUCCCUAGAUUGUCAACCAGGUUAGAGCUAUACAAAAAAAACAUAUAUAGUAAAAAAAUUAUUUUUAUGUGCUGUUUCUUAUAGAAGCAGGGCUGAUUAACCACAUCUGGGGCCCUAGGCAAUAAUAUUUUGAAGCCCCCCUCCCCUCAUGGCAGUGGAGCAAGACAUUUUUUAAAGCUAACUUCCUGCAAUUGUAAACAUUUUGCCAUGGGGCAGAGAUAAAAAAUGUUCGUUUUAAAGCUAAUUUCCCAGUUGGUAAUCCGGCCAUGAUAUGAAACAGUUCUCUGUCUCUGCCAUGGGCAUUCUACAGUAGGCUGAGUGUACUUUUCACAAGCUAUUUGUAGUCUACAGCACUUUUUCAUUGAAUUGACAAAAAGACAACUCAAUAAAAAAUGAUUUGUUGAUACAAGUAAACUAGUAAAAGGUGAAUGUAAAAUGUAGUUGUUAGGAUUAUGGCCAUAAAAUGUACUUCUGAAUCCCUGAAGAGGGACCUGCAGUAUUUUUUUUCCCUUUAUUGAACUAGGCAAGUCAGUUAAGAAUACAUUCUUAUUUACAAUGACGGCCUGGGAACAGUGGGGUUAACUGGUCUAGGAACAAGUGGGUUAACUGGUCUAGGAACAGUGGGUUAACUGGUUCUGGAACAGAGGGUUAACUGUCUAGGAACAGUGGUUAACUGGUCUAGGAACAGUGGGGUUAAAUGGCCUUCAGUGGGGUUAACUGGUCUAGGAACAGUGGGUUAAAUGCCUUGUUCAGGGGCAGAACGAUAGAUUUUUACCUUGUCAGCUCUGGGAUUUGAUCCAGCAACCUUUCAGUUACUGGCCCAACGUUCUAACCACUAGGCUACCUGCCCCAGUAACCCCAGUAUCAUAAUAUUKAACUUAUUGAUAACACGGUUAWAUAAGGAGUUMAUCCACAUUUAGUUUAAAACAUUCACCAACUACUUUACGGUACAUUUCUUCCAUACCUUCCUCUCUGCCAUAGCAUGAAAAUGUUAGUGGAUUUUCUCGUAAUAUUUGAUAAUAAAUCKAACUGCUAAAAUAAUACCACUUGAGUAAAUGAGGGAUACAAAGUGUAUUGAAGCAGGCGCUUCCACACAGGUGUGGUUUCCUGAGUUAAUUAAACAAUURACAUCCCAUAAUGCUUAGGGUCAUGCAUACAAAUGGCUGGGCAGGMCAUUAUUAUGGUUAC
ensembl:lncRNA